rnacentral:lncRNA from 1 species
UGUGAGAUGCGUAGAAUGGACCCUGGCACUUGCUAAUGGUUCAUUGAACUUCACAGAUCACGGUUGUUUUAUUUCCCCCAGGCCCCAGCCAGGACUGUGUAAGCGAGAGGAUACCUGCACCCCCUUUAAUCCCUCAGCGGGGUCUCCCCAGUGGGGAGACCAGACCUGGGAAACAUGGCUCACCUUGGUAAGCCAUCAGCCUCUCCACGCCUCAGUUUCUUCAUCUGCAAAAUGGGCAUGCCUUUAGGCCUAGUGAGGCUAGUGCAUGUAAGCACUUAAUAAAGCCUGCAGCGGUGGGGCUCAGAUGGCCCAGCCCUCUGCUCUGAGGACCUCCCUGACCUGGCAUGCACAUCUGCAUGGUCAUGUACACGUGCGUGCACACGAGCUGGGGAACAGUGAAGACGCUCCCAGAGGAGACGCUCAGAAACGAUGAUGAGGUCUUUUCUGAAUGGACCUGACCAUUUCGAAGAACAGAAUGGCAAUUUCACAUGGUGCAACCGGGGAGGUGAACCGCCCAGCCCAGAGCCGGCCUGCAGCGGCACUCACCCCAGCAGCUGUCGUAGCGGAGCGAGCCUGCGUCCUCUAUAAACCCAGGUGACCUCGCGCUUCUUCGUUUCUGUUUUCCUGGAAAUUUUUACAAAAUUCCUUUGAACUCUCCAACUUCUCUCGCUAAGUGAAAAUAAGUUGGGGUCUCUGAUUAAAACAGAAAAGCCGAUAUUCCGC